AGUCGAGGGGCAUCAGGGAUUAGCAAUAAUCCGCUGGCGACCGGCGCACCGGUGAGUAACACGUAUUCAACCUUCCGAUAACUCGGGGAUAGCCUUUCGAAAGAAAGAUUAAUACUCGAUAGUAUAUUUUCUUCGCAUGUUGAAAAUAUUAAAGAAUUUCGGUUAUCGAUGGGAAUGCGUUCCAUUAGGCAGUUGGCGGGGUAACGGCCCACCAAACCUACGAUGGAUAGGGGUUCUGAGAGGAAGGUCCCCCACAUUGGAACUGAGACACGGUCCAAACUCCUACGGGAGGCAGCAGUGAGGAAUAUUGGUCAAUGGACGCAAGUCUGAACCAGCCAAGUAGCGUGAAGGAUGACUGCCCUAUGGGUUGUAAACUUCUUUUAUAUGGGAAUAAAGUGCGCCACGUGUGGUGUUUUGUAUGUACCAUUAUGAAUAAGCAUCGGCUAACUCCGUGCCAGCAGCCGCGGUAAUACGGAGGAUGCGAGCGUUAUCCGGAUUUAUUGGGUUUAAAGGGAGCGUAGGUGGGCUGGUAAGUCAGCUGUGAAAGUUUGCGGCUCAACCGUAAAAUUGCAGUUGAUACUGUCAGUCUUGAGUACAGUAGAGGUUAGCGGAAUUCGUGGUGUAGCGGUGAAAUGCUUAGAUAUCACGAAGAACUCCAAUUGCGAAGGCAGCUGACUAGACUGUUACUGACACUGAUGCUCGAAAGUGUGGGUAUCAAACAGGAUUAGAUACCCUGGUAGUCCACACAGUAAACGAUGAAUACUCGCUGUUUGCGAUAUAC
rnacentral:rRNA from 1 species